rnacentral:rRNA from 1 species
GGAUUGACGGCAGACUACACAUGCAGUCGAGCGGUAGCACAGAGAGCUUGCUCUCGGGUGACGAGCGGCGGACGGGUGAGUAAUGUCUGGGAAACUGCCUGAUGGAGGGGGAUAACUACUGGAAACGGUAGCUAAUACCGCAUAACGUCGCAAGACCAAAGUGGGGGACCUUCGGGCCUCAUGCCAUCAGAUGUGCCCAGAUGGGAUUAGCUAGUAGGUGGGGUAACGGCUCACCUAGGCGACGAUCCCUAGCUGGUCUGAGAGGAUGACCAGCCACACUGGAACUGAGACACGGUCCAGACUCCUACGGGAGGCAGCAGUGGGGAAUAUUGCACAAUGGGCGCAAGCCUGAUGCAGCCAUGCCGCGUGUAUGAAGAAGGCCUUCGGGUUGUAAAGUACUUUCAGCGGGGAGGAAGGCGAUAAGGUUAAUAACCUUGUCGAUUGACGUUACCCGCAGAAGAAGCACCGGCUAACUCCGUGCCAGCAGCCGCGGUAAUACGGAGGGUGCAAGCGUUAAUCGGAAUUACUGGGCGUAAAGCGCACGCAGGCGGUCUGUCAAGUCGGAUGUGAAAUCCCCGGGCUCAACCUGGGAACUGCAUUCGAAACUGGCAGGCUAGAGUCUUGUAGAGGGGGGUAGAAUUCCAGGUGUAGCGGUGAAAUGCGUAGAGAUCUGGAGGAAUACCGGUGGCGAAGGCGGCCCCCUGGACAAAGACUGACGCUCAGGUGCGAAAGCGUGGGGAGCAAACAGGAUUAGAUACCCUGGUAGUCCACGCCGUAAACGAUGUCGAUUUGGAGGUUGUGCCCUUGAGGCGUGGCUUCCGGAGCUAACGCGUUAAAUCGACCGCCUGGGGAGUACGGCCGCAAGGUUAAAACUCAAAUGAAUUGACGGGGGCCCGCACAAGCGGUGGAGCAUGUGGUUUAAUUCGAUGCAACGCGAAGAACCUUACCUGGUCUUGACAUCCACAGAACUUUCCAGAGAUGGCUUGGUGCCUUCGGGAACUGUGAGACAGGUGCUGCAUGGCUGUCGUCAGCUCGUGUUGUGAAAUGUUGGGUUAAGUCCCGCAACGAGCGCAACCCUUAUCCUUUGUUGCCAGCGGUUCGGCCGGGAACUCAAAGGAGACUGCCAGUGAUAAACUGGAGGAAGGUGGGGAUGACGUCAAGUCAUCAUGGCCCUUACGACCAGGGCUACACACGUGCUACAAUGGCAUAUACAAAGAGAAGCGACCUCGCGAGAGCAAGCGGACCUCAUAAAGUAUGUCGUAGUCCGGAUUGGAGUCUGCAACUCGACUCCAUGAAGUCGGAAUCGCUAGUAAUCGUAGAUCAGAAUGCUACGGUGAAUACGUUCCCGGGCCUUGUACACACCGCCCGUCACACCAUGGGAGUGGGUUGCAAAAGAAGUAGGUAGCUUAACCUUCGGGAGGGCGCUACCACUUGAUUAGGGCU